AGAGUUUGAUCCUGGCUCAGGACGAACGCUGGCGGCAUGCCUAAUACAUGCAAGUCGAGCGAAUCGAUAGGAGCUUGCUCCUUGAGAUUAGCGGCGGACGGGUGAGUAACACGUGGGCAACCUGCCCUGCAGAUGGGGAUAACUCCGGGAAACCGGGGCUAAUACCGAAUAAUCAAUUCCUUCGCAUGAAGGAAUUCUGAAAGACGGUUUCGGCUGUCACUGCAGGAUGGGCCCGCGGCGCAUUAGCUAGUUGGUGGGGUAAUGGCCUACCAAGGCAACGAUGCGUAGCCGACCUGAGAGGGUGAUCGGCCACACUGGGACUGAGACACGGCCCAGACUCCUACGGGAGGCAGCAGUAGGGAAUCUUCCACAAUGGACGAAAGUCUGAUGGAGCAAUGCCGCGUGAGUGAAGAAGGUUUUCGGAUCGUAAAGCUCUGUUGCGAGGGAAGAACACGUACGGGAGUAACUGUCCGUACCUUGACGGUACCUCGUCAGAAAGCCACGGCUAACUACGUGCCAGCAGCCGCGGUAAUACGUAGGUGGCAAGCGUUGUCCGGAAUUAUUGGGCGUAAAGCGCGCGUAGGCGGUCCUUUAAGUCUGAUGUGAAAGCCCACGGCUCAACCGUGGAGGGUCAUUGUGGAAACUGGGGGACUUGAGUACAGAAGAGGAAAGCGGAAUUCCACGUGUAGCGGUGAAAUGCGUAGAGAUGUGGAGGAACACCAGUGGCGAAGGCGGCUUUCUGGUCUGUAACUGACGCUGAGGCGAAAGCGUGGGAGCAAACAGGAUUAGAUACC
rnacentral:rRNA from 1 species